rnacentral:rRNA from 1 species
GACGAACGCUGGCGCCGUGCUUAACACAUGCAAGUCGAACGGAAAGGCCCUGCUUGCUGGGUACUCGAGGGGCGAACGGGUGGGUAACACGUGGGUGAUCUGCCCUGCACUUCGGGGUAAGCCUGGGAAACUGGGUCCAAUACCUGAUAGGAGCCAUUUUUUGCGGGAGGGUUGGAAAGUUUUUUCGGUGUAGGAUGAGCUCGCGGCCUAUCAGCUUGUUGGUGGGGUAAUGGCCUACCAAGGCGGCGACGGGUAGCCGGCCUGAGAGGGUGGACGGGCACAUUGGGCCUGAGAUACGGCGCAGACGCCAACGGGAGGCAGCGGGGGGGAAUAUUGCACAAUGGGCGCAAGCCUGAUGCAGCGACGCCGCGUGGGGGAUGACGGCCUUCGGGUUGUAAACUCCUUUCGCUAGGGACGAAGCUUUUUGUGACGGUACCUAGAUAAGAAGCACCGGCUAACUACUU